rnacentral:tRNA from 2 species
GCCCCCGUAGCUCAGGUGGACAGAGCAAGGCACUCCUAACGCCUUGGCCGCAGGUUCGAGUCCUGCCGGGGGUA